GGUCUUAAGACAGACAUUCGAAUGGAACCUCACCUUUCCUUCAUGUGGCCCUCCUCUUUCUUAGCCAAUCCAAUAGUUGCCUAAAUAUCCAUUCUUACAAUAACCCAAUAAAAAAAACGCUAAUCCUAAACCUAAUCACCAUUAUUCGAUCAGUUAAUAUAGUUCUCUUUCAUUUCAUAUAGUUCAGUUACAGAGUUUUUGUCCACUCUAAGAUAGAGGAGAAAACAGAAAAAUUUAAGAUAGAUUUGAGAUAAAGUAGAAAAGAUUGGUCCAAAAAAAACAAUCUUUUGGAUGUCAAUCAGUGUGAAGGAGACAUGGGGUAGUUCAGAAUCCACUAUGUAUUAAUUUGAACAGGAAUUUAGAUUUUGAGAAAUUAAAUAAAUUAGUAGUAUUGUUAAGGAUAAUCAAAAUGGUCUUGUCUCUUCAAAUCAACAUGAACCACCGAAUUUGUGGGUAUCUUUUUGACUUUAUGAUACAUUUUAAUUCAGAAAAAAGAAAUUUGAUGUUUCUUUUUUAGCUAAAGUGGGCACUGAGAAUGUCUCAAGCCACGUGAUAAUUUUUUUCUCCUUUCAACCCAAAUGAAUGAAAGAAGAAAGUAGCGAUUGCUGUUUUCUUCUCUUUUUUCUUCUUGUUGGCCUUAAAAUUGAAGGAAAAUGUAUGUUGAACUGUUGAGAAUUAUGGAUGAACUGGAUCAUAAAAUUAGGCAGAUUUUUAUUUUUUUUUAUAAAAAAGUUGGUUGAUUUUUACUGUAAAAAGCUAAAGAGAAAAGCUUUUAAUCAUCUAUGCACGUGCAGAGCUGUGUAUUGAAUCCUUUUUCUUUUUUGAAUUUGUUCCCUUUUGUUUUGGGGUUUCGGUUUCGGGUCAUAACAAAACUAUCUUUUCGGCCGAAGCUGUAUUACUCAUUGGUGAAACAGAAGAAGGAAUCUGGAGAAGAAAGUAUCAUCCAGUCGAGAUGCAUAUCUAAACACUUCUCCACAUUUAUCCUCUGGACAAACAAACUGUUUCUGACACUCAACUUCAAGAAGAGCAUUAUCAUCAUGGAAUUCUUUCAAGUGUCUAUUUACACUAGAUAGGUAUGCAAAUUCACGGCUACAACUCUCAAUUGAACACUUGUAUGCUAUUCCUUGGUGCUGGAGAAGGUGGCAUGUCUAAUGAUCCUCUCUUCUAUAACUGGAUUGGCAACCAUCUACCGGACACAACCUAAGAAUGUAAAGAGAUAGCCAUGUAACAAUAAAGGCAAGCACAUAAUUCAAUCCUAUUAAUGAGAUGAUAAGAACUGUGAAGAAGAUAGAAUUCCAAAAGCAAGCAUUUAGAUAACCAA